UACGAAGGGGGCUAGCGUUGCUCGGAAUCACUGGGCGUAAAGCGCACGUAGGCGGCUUUUUAAGUCAGGGGUGAAAUCCUGGAGCUCAACUCCAGAACUGCCUUUGAUACUGAAGAUCUUGAGUUCGGGAGAGGUGAGUGGAACUGCGAGUGUAGAGGUGAAAUUCGUAGAUAUUCGCAAGAACACCAGUGGCGAAGGCGGCUCACUGGCCCGAUACUGACGCUGGGGCACGAAAGCGUGGGGAGCAAACAGG
rnacentral:rRNA from 1 species